rnacentral:rRNA from 1 species
AGCGAACGCUGGCGGCAUGCCUAACACAUGCAAGUCGAACGAACCUUUCGGGGUUAGUGGCGGACGGGUGAGUAACACGUGGGAACGUGCCUUUAGGUUCGGAAUAACUCAGGGAAACUUGUGCUAAUACCGAAUGUUCCCUUCGGGGGAAAGAUUUAUCGCCUUUAGAGCGGCCCGCGUUUGAUUAGCUAGUUGGUUGGGGUAAUGGCUCACCAAGGCGACGAUCAGUAGCUGGUCUGAGAGGAUGAUCAGCCACAUUGGGACUGAGACACGGCCCAAACUCCUACGGGAGGCAGCAGUGGGGAAUCUUGCGCAAUGGGCGAAAGCCUGACGCAGCCAUGCCGCGUGAAUGAUGAAGGUCUUAGGAUUGUAAAAUUCUUUCACCGGGGACGAUAAUGACGGUACCCGGAGAAGAAGCCCCGGCUAACUUCGUG